rnacentral:rRNA from 1 species
UUCUACCUACGGGAGGCAGCAGUGGGGAAUAUUGCACAAUGGGGGGAACCCUGAAGCAGCAAUGCCGCGUGAAGGAUGAAGGUUUUCGGAUUGUAAACUUCUUUUGUACGGGACGAAGAAAGUGACGGUACCGUAAGAAUAAGCCACGGCUAACUACGUGCCAGCAGCCGCGGUAAUACGUAGGUGGCAAGCGUUGUCCGGAUUUACUGGGUGUAAAGGGCGUGUAGCCGGGCUGACAAGUCAGAUGUGAAAUCCGGGGGCUCAACCCCCGAACUGCAUUUGAAACUGUUGGUCUUGAGUAUCGG